GUAUCAACAAAGUCGCCCGAAGAUACGUAAGGUGCUGCAGCUGUUGCGUCUGCGGAAGAUCAACACCUUCAUCAAGCUGAACAAGGUCACCAGAACAUGCUGCGCAUCGCCGACCCGUGCUAAAUUCGUCCCCUGCAACCUGAUCUAUCUCGUGCUCGUGGCACACUCGUUUGAUCGCAGAACUUCCUCAUCAACUACCGGGCUGACCAUUUCCCAGCACUGAGAAAUGUCCUGUGAAGCGAAACUCGGCUGGAAUACGACCCUGACAAACUGGCUGAGCCCGGAACUACACGAACAUUGGCGUCAACGGCACGUACUGUCUGGUUUUCAAGACGGCAAAACUGACGUUCGGUCCUCACCUUGUGGCAACUGUUCCACCCGCGGAAAUCGGAACCGUUCAGGCGAACCACAAAACGCAGUCGCUGCUGGUCUUUUUGGUCCAGGCCAACCAAGUCCUGCUGCUGGUCUACACACCAGAACCUGCA